rnacentral:misc_RNA from 1 species
GAGAGAGCAAAGAGCUAGAAUAAUUUGCAGUUGCAGAAAACACAUUUUUAUCCAUAUGCUGGCUUCAAAUCCAUUUAUGUCACACAGACAGUUGUAACUAAAACUUUUUUGGUGCUGCCUUGUAGUUCAACUUACAGCAAUAAUAUUUAGCUGCAGUCAAGGGACUAUGUUUGUAGGUCUUACAGCUGACAUGGGUUAUCAAGGUUCAUUUUUCCAAAAAAAAAUUUCCCCCUUUGUGUGUCUUCUUCUUUUAACAAACUUCAUAUUUAUCCCAAUAAGAUAGGCUCAACUCAACUAUGCCUCAAUCCCAAACUUGUUAAGGUUAGCUAUAUGGAUCAU